GUAGGGAAUAUUGGACAAUGGGCGAAAGCCUGAUCCAGCAAUGCCGCGUGAGUGAUGAAGGCCUUAGGGUUGUAAAGCUCUUUUACCAGGGAUGAUAAUGACAGUACCUGGAGAAUAAGCUCCGGCUAACUCCGUGCCAGCAGCCGCGGUAAUACGGAGGGAGCUAGCGUUGUUCGGAAUUACUGGGCGUAAAGCGCGCGUAGGCGGCGAUUUAAGUCAGAGGUGAAAGCCCGGGGCUCAACCCCGGAAUAGCCUUUGAGACUGGAUUGCUAGAAUCCUGGAGAGGUGAGUGGAAUUCCGAGUGUAGAGGUGAAAUUCGUAGAUAUUCGGAAGAACACCAGUGGCGAAGGCGGCUCACUGGACAGGUAUUGACGCUGAGGUGCGAAAGCGUGGGGAGCAAACAGGAUUAGAAACCCCAGUAGUCC
rnacentral:rRNA from 1 species